rnacentral:tRNA from 1 species
GGCCGGUUAGCUCAGUUGAUUAGAGCGUGGUGCUCAUAACACAAAGGUCGUGGGUUCGAUCCCCGUUCAGUCCC